rnacentral:rRNA from 1 species
GACGAACGCUGGCGGCGUGCUUAACACAUGCAAGUCGAACGGAAAGGCCCUGCUUUUGUGGGGUGCUCGAGUGGCGAACGGGUGAGUAACACGUGAGUAACCUGCCCUUGACUUUGGGAUAACUUCAGGAAACUGGGGCUAAUACCGGAUAGGAGCUCCUGCGGCAUGGGGGGGGUUGGAAAGUUUCGGCGGUUGGGGAUGGACUCGCGGCUUAUCAUCUUGUGGGUGGGGUAGUGGCUUACCAAGGCUUUGACGGGUAGCCGGCCUGAGAGGGUGACCGGCCACAUUGGGACUGAGAUACGGCCCAGACUCCUACGGGAGGCAGCAGUGGGGAAUAUUGCACAAUGGGCGGAAGCCUGAUGCAGCAACGCCGCGUGCGGGAUGACGGCCUUCGGGUUGUAAACCGCUUUCGCCUGUGACGAAGCGUGAGUGACGGUAAUGGGUAAAGAAGCACCGGCUAACUACGUG